UAUAUAUGUUAUUUUUUCUAUUUGCUUCCGACGCAUCUCGAAGGAUGCACAGGCUCUCCGUACUUUACUGCUACUCAAAUGUCCCCGACGUAUCAAAAGGUAAUAUGUCUAUCCGCAUAUCUGAGCUUGUUUAUACGGGAAAACCCAACCCCUUGGGACGAUGGAUGAUAUGACUAAUUUGAGUGGA
rnacentral:ribozyme from 1 species